CGAAAGUCUUGAUGCAAUUUUA
rnacentral:miRNA from 12 species